UACGGGGGGUGCGAGCGUUGUCCGGAAUCACUGGGCGUAAAGGGCGCGUAGGUGGCUCUGUAAGUUUGCGGUGAAAGCCCGGGGCUUAACCCCGGGUCUGCCGUGGAUACUGCAAGGCUUGAGUACUGUAGAGGCAGGUAGAAUAUCGGGUGUAGCGGUGGAAUGCGUAGAGAUCCGAUAGAAGACCGGUGGCGAAGGCAGUGGGCUGGGCCGGCACUGACGCUGGGGAGCGAAAGCGUGGGGAGCGAACAGG
rnacentral:rRNA from 1 species